rnacentral:lncRNA from 1 species
CAGGCACAUGCCACGACACCCGGCUAGUUUUUUGUAUUUUUAGUAGAGACGGGGUUUCACCAUGUUAGCCAUGAUGGCCCCGAUCUCCUGACCUCAUGAUCUGCCCGCCUCAGCCUCCCAAAGUGAUGAGAUUACAGGCAUGAGCCACCAUACCUGGCCAAGAGAAGGCUUUUAAGAGAAGCAGCCUCUAUAACAAAGAAAGUCUAAAAUUUAUUUUUAAAAGUAUAUUAAUUGAAACAUUCAUCAGUGCUGGAAGUAUAUAAUACUUUCGUUUCAACAAAGUUUUUUUUUCAGGAGAGGAAUGUUCUUAUUUGGGGGACUUUUAGGACUUAUUUCGGAGGCCUCUUAGGGCUAACUAAAGAGAAACCAGCUGCUCAUAUUAGAAGACCUUGGAGUUAUCAGAUGCUAGUUUAUACCAUAUGCAUUAGACAUAUAAAAAAUCACCACCUACUUUCGGCUGAGAUAAAAAGCAAGAGGUAAAGCUCCAGACAGCUGUUCCUAACUUAACUACUCUUGCCUCCCACAGCUUUCUGAACAAGGUAAAUCCUGAAUAGUGAUCAUCAUUCAACCUUCAUCUCUGCAAAAAGCAUUUCUUUUCCUCCCAGGCGAAAACAAACAGUGCCUGCUGUCUAGCACUAGUUAAACAAGUUCCCCAAACACCACACACGUCUAUUAUAAUACAUACCACUGAGAAGCCACAGCAAGAACAUAAUGUUCCUUAUGGGCCAAGGAUGAAAGAAGAGGACAGGAAUCCUCCAAGCUGAUACAGUGACUUGUAAACCUGGUUUAUCUUAUUGGAGUCUCAGUUUCUACAUUUCAACCCAGGAGCAGGCUAUACCACUGUGAGCACAUGAAGACAUCUGGCCCAACCUUUACAAUUAUUGCCUUCAACUCUCCAGUGACAAGUGAACAAAAUCUACAGCAGCUGCUGCCUUGAAAAAAGACAAAAUAUAUUAUUCCUACCAGCUCAAAAUUAAAAUGUAGCCGUCUUAAAACACGAGCAUUGCUCCUGAAUGCCACAUGCAUGAAAAACCGGGUAUGCACUGGAUUGGACAAGCAGACUCCCAAGCUGGAACAGAGAGAAGGGCUUUGAGGGAGGGCAGAAUGUCAGGUACCGAAAGCAGGAAUCCGUGAAGAAACCCAAACCGGUUUCCAUUUACAAGCCCUAACACUGGGACAAUGAGAAUCCGUUUCACAUGGUAGAGCAGUCAGCCAGGUACACCACGCUGCUGUUCCCCCAAGGGGAAACCAGAGGUAGGCUCUGUUACCAGUGGAUUUCGAGUUGACUCGGGGAUCCCUCCUCGCCACCGGAAUGGGGGAACCAGGAAGUUGUGGAGCAGCUGCGAUCCCCGAAACUCAAUUCGCAAUCUACGCAACACCCACCCCUUUCUGGAACUCAGAGGUUCUCGCCCAGUGAUCGCAGGCUCAGCAUCAGAAUCACCUGCGUGGGGCGGAGUGGGAGGGGGGCGGUGGCUGUUAAACACGCAGUUCCCGGUCCCGCCCCCAGAGGUUCUGACCCCGGGACUGAAUCUCCGCAUUUUACCAAAGGCCCCAGGUGAUUCCCACUCAGGCUGAAGUUGGAAAACCACUGCUUUAGCAAUUUUCAUUCCUAACUCGGAGACCAAGAAAAACCCACAGGUUUGCAGCUGGCUCUGAAAUAACUGCGGCUUCUUUCCGGGAGCAUCUGGGGCCGCCAACGGAGAGCUCCCGGUCCUCCGAAAGGGCCAGCCGAGCUCAGGCCGGCCACUCGCGGAACCUCGGCAGGGCCCAAGGUCGGCCCCGCGGUCCCAGUCCUGGGCUCCGGGCCCCUCGCGGCCCCCACGGAACCCCGCCCAGCCUCUUCGGCCCACGGGGACCCAAGAGACACCCGGCCCCGUGACGCGCCCGGGCCCCAGCCGCCCUCCCGGCGAGGCCUCCUCAGGCGAGGCCUGUCAGCCCGCGUCCCCCUGUCCGGGUCACAAUGGCAGCUCGCGACUGGGAAAUAGUUGCCUCGGAAGCGGGAGCCCCGGGCCGCAGCACCGUCCCCAUCGCCCCCUCCCGGCACGCACC